CAGAGCUAAAACGUUUCUUCCAAUGAAAUGAGGAGCUAAGCUGACUCUUCUGAACAUGAUCCCUGGUGAGUUGUACACAGGUGUUGGCCCAGCUUUGGGAAAGCUCUGAUGAGGAGGAGAGUGGGAGGUCCAUCACUUCCACAAACCCAUCUUCCUCCAUCUUUGCUCUUCUCUUUAUCCUCAAUCUGAUAUGUAGUAAGAGGGAAGGAAGUGUGGGAGACUAGUCAAAGUGUAGAUCCGAAGUGUUUGCUGAGAACAUUUGACUUGGAGCUCUAUCUGAGGUGAGAUCAAGGCAGUGUGGGUGAACAGAACAAGGGUUACAAGCUGUUUGUAUCUGUUUGGAUGCCAGCAGUUAUUCAAUAGCCUGUACUACAAAGGUCAGGCCAGGUGAUCACAACAGGCUGUGAGUCUGUAUCAAACACAGGGCUAGUCAGCCUAGGCAGAGCUGUCUGGAAGGUGUUGCCUAAAGGUAGGAUCAAAACCAAAGUCCUGAAAGACUUCUUUUCCUCAAUCGGGCAUGGCAGAGCAGGCACAGGUUGCAGGGGUGUGUGUGAGGGUAGAAAGAUGUUGUUAAGCCCCUGUGAGAAGGUAGCCUGUUUCCUGAAGGCUGCACAAGUCCCCACCAGCAUCACUGGUGGUGCAGAAGCACCAGCGGCUGAGCAGGUAAAAGGUGGGUGGGCCAUUCAGGCCAGACACUAGCUAAAGGCUCCAUCAUGCUCAGAACCACAAAACUAACCUGAAAUGCUAAGACAUGUGAAAAGGAACAGCAGAUAACGAGGGCUGAGCAGAGGGUUAUAGUCAUCUCCAAAGACUGUGUCCCCCACCCCCUGCAGACAGACCACCCAUCCCUUUCCUUCCCAAUCCUAUUUUCUCUUAAUGCAAGAUAAUUCCUAAUAGCUUUUGCUAUGGACAUAACAAUGUGUUGUCUUCCCCCCCCCCUUUUUUUUUCUGGUUGGGACAUCAAUAAGGACCCUUCUGCAUUUAGACAUGAAGGAAGAGAAGGAAAACAGUCUUGUUUUCAAUAAGACAGGGUCUCUUCCUCCAUUGCUCAACUGCCCAUUUGCACAAGGCUUUCUGGCCCCAUAGUAGACUGUUUCCCUGGAGAGUGCCGCCGACAAGGGGAGGCGAGGCGGUGUUGGAAGGUAGCCUGAGGAUAAUAGGCGUUAUAAAGAGGAAUUUUUUUUCCUGCUGUUUUUGUUUGUUUUACCACAGAGGCUCAGAGGAGCUGGCCAAGAGCCUCACACAGCAGGUGCUGCCUGGGAAUGUAAGGGGAGCAAAAUUCCUACUAAAUGGAAGCAUUAUUUGACACCACUGCCUUUCGCAAUCUUUUUCUUUUGUUUCAGACAAACUCCAAGGCCUCCUGGGCUUUGUGGUCAAAGCUGAGUUGGAGUCUUCUGCAGGGGAGGAAAGGGAAGUAGUAAAGGGUGUCCCCAAACAUGCCAAAGACUUGGGUGACAGAGACCAACCCUUCUGGAAACAAUACUGCUGGGUUCCCACAGAAGUAGCAAGAGAGCCAAGAAAAAAAUAAAAAUCCCCUUUGGCUCCCCCACAGCAGUUUUAUUUUUUUUCUUUUUUUUCUUUUUAUUUAGUGAAGAAGAGGUUGAGCCUGCACACCCACACCGAAAUGGUCUCACCAUUUGGAGACCUCUGAGCCUGGAUCCACAGGAGCAGAUCGCAGCUUUGCCCAGCUUGGUUAUUUCUCUCCUAUGGCUGUUGCAAGACUGGGAAAGAUUCUUGGGAAGCCAACGGUCCCUCCUGCGCCAGCCUGGAUGCUUUUAUGCCACGUUCCUUAGCUACAAUCACGUGCCUGCUCUCCAAAACAAGUACAAAGCAUGACUCCCAGUUAAAUGGAUGACAUGGUUCUUCAGGCCCAGAGGAAAAUGCUGUCGGCUCAUAAUGGACGGCCAGGUUUAAGGCAACAGGGAAACAAAAUGGAUUGUAAAUAUAUUAUAGCUUAGCCUCCAACAACAAACCUACAGAAAGAGCUUUUGGUUGGUUGGUGCGUAGGGAUUUUAAAAGGAAAAAUAAGCAAGAUCUGCUCUACAGAGAGGGUGCGAAUGGGUCAAAGUACAACACAAUCUUGUUGAAAGAAAUUAAUAUAAAAUACAGAAUACAGGCAUAUUAUCUGGCAUUCACACAUAGCUUAAAUACAGUGCCUCAGUUCAGCUGUAUAUUUGCAUCAGAAUAAAUCUAUAAUUGAAGGCUUGGUAAAAAAGACUAGUCUUUUUUUUUUUUCUAUUUUUUGUAAUAUUUCAAUGGAAAUAUCCCCAUGUUCCUAGCUUGUUAGGGUGCAGUCAUGGAGGGAAUAACCCAUUACAUACUUCAUUAUUUUCCAGAUAGCAGCGGAAAUCUCCUAGGAAUAUUUGAAAUGUGAAGGGUAUUAUAAUAUCUAAAAUCAAGUGACAUGAAUUUUGAUGAUGUGUCAGCAUUUACAACUGGUAAUGCUAAUGCUGAUUUUUGGGGAGCCAUUAUUCAAUUUGCACCUCAACAGCACGUAUGGUGAGUAUUCCCUUACAAGCAGGUGCUCUGAUCAUUUUAUAAAUAAUACAACAAAAUAAAGCAUAGACCCCUAUUUUUUUACCUUUCCUUAUUUGCAAACCAAAGCUUCAAGAUUACCCCUGAUAUUUUGUAACAUCAGCCUCUGAGACACAGAAAUGUUGAAGCAAAUCCCCACAUGUUCAGAACUGCAAGCAGUAUUCAGUGAGAUAAAAUAUUCUUUAUGACAGUCUAAAAAUCUGAAUUACCCAGUCUAGUACAUGCUGAAAUCUACCAUGGUGCGUUAAAGCUAUGACAAACAACCUCUGACAAAUAAUUUGGUCAUAAUUCCUAGUUUAGCACGCGUCAUGGCAAAACAGUGCAAUUGGAAAGGGGUGCUGUUGGGCAGCAGCAGAUGCUACUUUUUAGUGUCAGACUAAGUUUG